UGCGCAACAAUGGAAAUUGGCCGCCAUUUUUGAUCAAUGUCGCCUGCGGCGGUUCUGCGUGAUCCUCGGCUAGGCUGGUGCCUUCUGCUAUAAAAUUAUAGGCUACUCGGCGUCUAAUUGCAGCGGAAAUAGCGAACAGUGCAACUAUUGAAGCUAUCAGCAGAUGCCGAGAGAAGAAACAAAUGGGAAAAUAUUUCUAGAGGCUGGAAAUCCGGCCCAGGCAGUUCGUUGUGUGAGACUCAUUUUUGAAAAAUAUCAAUUUGAACCGAAGAGGACGGAUAAAUGGAAAAAAAUAAAAUGGGAUAUAGAAAAUAUUCGAUGAGCCAAAUUCACCAAAAAAUUCAAAUCAUCAAAAGCUGAAUUAGCUAAUAUAUUGACUGAGAUGAAAUUUCAAAAAAGAACAAUAAGCCUACAGUUUGAUCAAAACAUCCUACUCCAGGUGCCACCAGGACAAACCAGUUGUGCCAGAAGCCUAUAAUGUUGGGUCAUAUACAGCACAAGAGUGUCAGACUGCUGCUUAAGCCUCAAGAUUGACUUCAGAAGUACUAUGGCUUCUGUUUAUGCAUAUGAUGUAUUGAAGACUGUAGAGGACGCGCUUCGAUGGUUACUACUUUGCGCACAGUCCAGAACCACAUUACACUGUGUAACACACAUUUUGUUACUGGCUUCUGAUUAUUAUUUUCUGAGAACAGCACGCAACCACAUAAGAAAAUUUAGAUUUUGAUUUUUUGAAUAUUGGGGGGAGUAUUUCACCCAAAUCGUUUUUUGGGGUAUAUAAAACAACAUAAAACUUUCAUUGUAACACAGGUGUGCUUUUUUUGUGUUUUUAUUUAUCCAAAUUAUUACAAACCUAUUAUAAAUAACUUUUUAGCAAUUAAAAGACUUGAAAUUGAACAUAAAAACACAGAUUAUUUGUUAAAGUCAAUUUCACGAAUAAGCACUCAUAUGUAGUCACCAUCGCUUAGGUGACAUGGGCAGUCACGACCUUGUAAUGGAACUAAGAUAAGGAAAGUCGGAAUAAAAAUUGGGCUUAGCUUUAACCUGGUACACAUACUGCGGGAGUUUAAAUUUAUGUACCUUUUUCAUGUCUUUUUUAUUUAAUUAUUGAAAUUUCUAUUGUUGGUCAAUCGAAUAGCACUUCUUUUCCACGUUUUUUAUAUUUAGUUAUUUACAUGCUAUUGUUGAUCAAUUAAAUGGUUCUUUUCUCAUAUUUUUGUUAUUUGAUAAGUAUCAUUUCUAUUUUUGUUCAAUCAAAUUAUUUCCAAAUUGCUCUGGACUAUCAGUUUGUUUGCAAUGAUUUCAUGAAUCAUACUGCUACACCGAAGAUUUAAAUAAAAAUGUUCACUAUUCCUAUGAUGAUCAUUGCUUGCUUCGUUUUGUAAAUACAAUUCUCAAGAUGUGAAUUAUGAAAAUUUUCCUAUUGAUUUGACCCUCUUGUGUGGGUCAGAAACGUUUUCAAAACCCAUCUGCUAAAACUUCUUGAUAUACUUGUAAGUAUUUACAUUAUUAGAGUGCAAGUUUGUAAAAAUCCCAAAAUAUAUAUAAAGUUCAUGCAAUUUUGAAACAUUUUCAGAUUAUAACAAACAUAUGAAUCAAGAUCAUCUUUCCCUAUCCAGUGUGUUAUUUUUAUCCAAUACUGUGUAUGUAUCACUGAGUUGCACUUAUUUAUUUUUCACGUUCAGGCACAUUCUCAUCGCAUUGAAAAAAAAUUUGUCGCUGAUCCACUGUGUAUACAUAGCCAAUUUAAUUAUUUUUUUCUGAUUAUUAUCGUUCAAACUCCAUUGAAUUUAGUUUUCAGUUAAAUAUAAAUUUCCAUCACAUUAUUCUGGCCGCUUUUGUUUUAUUUAACGAAUGCAACCGCGGAGCCCCAACUUUUUUUUAAACACACACAUGCUUAACAUCUUUUUUUUAUAAGAAUCCCUCCAUUUUGUUCAGAAAUUUAUUGUUAGAAUAUUAUCGUAAUUGUUUUUGCCACUGGUCAUCUCUACCAAAACAAUUUGAUUUGCUGUAGCUAUUUUAUUGAUGAGUGUAUUUUUUGGUUGACAAAGUAAUAAAAUCUCUCUUUCGUUGUA